GCUCUUAUCUAGAUAACUGAUCCAACAUGUUUUCAUUCUUUUCUGCAUUGGGUCAGUAUGUGAAAAGUUUCUCGACUCCACAAUCAAUUUUCUGUUCUGUUGAAAGGCAAGAGUAUGCCAUGCUUAAUGCGAAUCAGCAUGAGCGAAUUGUUUUCCUAAUCGUGUAUUUUCCUUGUGAUAAUUUUUUAACUGAAUACCUUGUGAUAUUUUCCUCAAACAGGUUCCAAAACUAUUACUUCAUCGACUCUUUCCUGAUGUGCGGUAUUCACUCUGGAUCGAUGGGAAACUUAAACUUGUGAAGGAUCCUUAUCAGUUGUUAGAGAGAUUCUUGUGGAGGAAAAAUGUGCGCUUCGCUAUUUCCAGGCAUUAUAGACUCUUUGAUGUCCUUGAGGAAGUUGAGGCCAACAAGGCUGGUGGGAAGUAUGAUAAUGCUUCAAUCGAUAACCAAAUAGAGUUCUACAAGAGAGAGGGUUUAACCCAUUAUUCAUCAGCUAAGUUCCUUAUUACAAGCGAUGUCCCCGAGGGCUGUGUAAUUAUAGGAGAGCACAUACCCAUCACCAAUCUAUUCACAUGCCUUUGGUUCAAUGAAGUUGAUCGUUCCACCUCAAGAGAUCAGCUAAGCUUUAGCGCAGCGAGGGAUAAAAUAAGAUCAAGAGUUCUUUUUGACAACUAAAUAAGAUCAGGAGUUAAUUGGACUGUAGACAUGUUCCUGGAUUGUGGAAGGUGUGAUUUUGUUGUUCAGGUACUUUCGAGUUAAUGCUUUGUGCGGCACGUCAUUCCAUUUGCAACCUAUAAGUACUACUGCAUCUUGGUACCGAGUGCAAACUUGUGAAAUUACACAAAAAAUCCCGCAUAACGAUGGAUCUUCGCAUCGUCAUAGGGACUAUCUGAAAACAACAUCAGUGGACAGAUGAUUUUUUGGAAAGAACAAUGCCAGGAUCUUUGACAGAAUAGAAUUUUAUUGGAGUUUGAGGCUAUAUUAUUGAUGAGGUAUCCUGGAGAGCUGCAAGCUGCCUUUCUUGUUUUGAA